rnacentral:rRNA from 1 species
UACGAGAGGCCCAAACGUUAUUCGGAAUUACUGGGCUUAAAGAGUUCGUAGGCGGCGCAGAAAGUAGGGUGUGAAAGCCCUCGGCUCAACCGAGGAAUUGCGCUCUAAACUACUGUGCUCGAGGAAUCUAGAGGUGAGCGGAACUGAUGGUGGAGCGGUGAAAUGCGUUGAUAUCAUCAGGAACACCGGGAGGCGAAGGCGGCUCACUGGGGAUUUUCUGACGCUGAGGAACGAAAGCCAGGGGAGCGAACGGG